GUCUUCUUCGCGAGGAAUGGGUCAGAAAUCCAUUUCCAUUGGCAUCGAGAAGAGAGAGGGGGGCAUACCCUACUUAACAGCGAGGCAGCCCCGUAACCAAACUCAAACCAGGACUCGAAGGACAGCGGAGGCAGCUGAACAAAAGCUGAAGCAACAGCCGUUACGGCCAACCGAAGCGUACGAGAGCCAGGCAGCAUGAAAGACAGCCGAAAACACACUAAAGGUUGUCGGUUCGAGUCCCAGGAGGGCCCUUUGGUAGGUGUUUAACCCGCACUGCUUCAGCAAAACAUCCCACCAUGUGAACUGUAAGCUGUGAAAC